rnacentral:rRNA from 1 species
GACGAACGCUGGCGGCGUGCCUAAUACAUGCAAGUAGAACGCUGAAGAGAGGAGCUUGCUCUUCUUGGAUGAGUUGCGAACGGGUGAGUAACGCGUAGGUAACCUGCCUUGUAGCGGGGGAUAACUAUUGGAAACGAUAGCUAAUACCGCAUAACAAUGGAUGACACAUGUCAUUUAUUUGAAAGGGGCAAUUGCUCCACUACAAGAUGGACCUGCGUUGUAUUAGCUAGUAGGUGAGGUAAGGGCUCACCUAGGCGACGAUACAUAGCCGACCUGAGAGGGUGCUCGGCCACACUGGGACUGAGACACGGCCCAGACUCCUACGGGAGGCAGCAGUAGGGAAUCUUCGGCAAUGGGGGCAACCCUGACCGAGCAACGCCGCGUGAGUGAAGAAGGUUUUCGGAUCGUAAAGCUCUGUUGUAAGUCAAGAACGGGUGUGAGAGUGGAAAGUUCACACUGUGACGGUAGCUUACCAGAAAGGGACGGCUAACUACGUG